rnacentral:misc_RNA from 1 species
GAUGAAGAACGCAGCGAAAUGCGAUACUUGGUGUGAAUUGCAGAAUCCCGUGAACCAUCGAGUCUGUGAACGCAAGUUGCGCCCGAAGCCAUUAGGCCGAGGGCACGCCUGCCUGGGCGUCACACGUCGUUGCCCCCCCAUCUACUCCUUCGGGAUUGCGGGGGGCGGAUGAUGGCCUCCCGUGCGCCUCGUCGCGCGGUUGGCAUAAAUGCCAAGUCCUCGGCGACGCACGCCACGACAAUCGGUGGUUGCGAAACCUCGGUUGCCCGUCGUGUGCGGUCGUCGCGCAUCGAGGGCUCGAAAAAAUUGCCGGGCUCCGGCUCGGCUUUCAACGCGACCCCAGGUCAGGCGGGGUUACCCGCUGAAUUUAAGCAUAUCAAUAAGCGGAGGA